AGUAGAAGAAAAGAAUACGUGGGAAAAUGGUUGGACUUUGUUGCAGAUAUGGACAAGUUCUUCAAGGAGAAGAUAUGGCAAUUCAGUAAAACUAGUUCGACGGAGAGAGCAAUGGUCAUUGGCCUAGGCGCUGUUAAUCUCUUUGGUGUUAUUGUUCUAAACACCCUCCUAAAGGAGAUGGCGUUCAGACCAAGUGGAUUUAUUACAUUUGU